rnacentral:rRNA from 1 species
UACAGAGGCCUCGAGCGUUGUUCGGAAUUACUGGGCGUAAAGAGAACGUAGGUGGUGACGUAAGUCAGAUGUGAAAAGCCCCUGGGCUUAACCCGGGAAGUGCAUUUGAUACUGCGUUGCUGGAGUACGAAAGAGGAAAGCGGAAUUUCCAGUGUAGGAGUGAAAUCCGUAGAUAUUGGAAGGAAUACCGAUGGCGAAGGCAGCUUUCUGGUUCGUAACUGACACUGAGGUUCGAAAGCGUGGGUAGCAAACAGGG